rnacentral:rRNA from 1 species
UAGGGAAUCUUCGGCAAUGGGGGGAACCCUGACCGAGCAACGCCGCGUGAGUGAAGAAGGUUUUCGGAUCGUAAAGCUCUGUUGUUAAGGAAGAACGAGUGUGAGAAUGGAAAGUUCAUACUGUGACGGUACUUAACCAGAAAGGGACGGCUAACUACGUGCCAGCAGCCGCGGUAAUACGUAGGUCCCGAGCGUUGUCCGGAUUUAUUGGGCGUAAAGCGAGCGCAGGCGGUUUUUUAAGUCUGAUGUGAAAGCCCACGGCUCAACCGUGGAGGGUCAUUGGAAACUGGAAAACUUGAGUGCAGAAGAGGAAAGUGGAAUUCCAUGUGUAGCGGUGAAAUGCGCAGAGAUAUGGAGGAACACCAGUGGCGAAGGCGACUUUCUGGUCUGUAACUGACGCUGAUGUGCGAAAGCGUGGGAAUCAAACAGG